UACGGAGGGUGCGAGCGUUGUCCGGAUUUACUGGGCGUAAAGCGCCCGUAGGCGGCCUGACAAGUUGGACGUGAAAGCUCCUGGCUUAACUGGGAGAGGCCGUUCAAAACUGUCAAGCUAGAGUCUGGAAGAGGAGAGCGGAAUUCCCGGUGUAGUGGUGGAAUGCGUAGAGAUCGGGAGGGAACACCAGUGGCGAAGGCGGCCAUCUGGACAGGUACUGACGCUGAGACGCGAAAAGCGUGGGUAGCAAACAGG
rnacentral:rRNA from 1 species